rnacentral:misc_RNA from 1 species
GAUGAAGAACGUAGCGAAAAGCGAUAAGUAAUGUGAAUUGCAGAAUUCAGUGAAUCAUCGAAUCUUUGAACGCACAUUGCGCCCGCCAGUAUUCUGGCGGGCAUGCCUGUUCGAGCGUCAUUUCAACCAUCAAGCCCCCGGGCUUGUGUUGGGGACCUGCGGCUGCCGCAGGCCCUGAAAAGCAGUGGCGGGCUCGCUGUCACACCGAGCGUAGUAGAUUUUAUCUCGCUCUGGGCGUGCCGCGGGUUCCGGCCGUUAAACCACCCUUUUAACCCAAGGUUGACCUCGGAUCAGGUAGGAAGACCCGCUGAACUUAAGCAUAUCAAUAAGCGGAGGA